AGUGAACGCUGGCGGUAGGCCUAACACAUGCAAGUCGAACGGCAGCACAGUAAGAGCUUGCUCUUACGGGUGGCGAGUGGCGGACGGGUGAGGAAUACAUCGGAAUCUACUUUUUCGUGGGGGAUAACGUAGGGAAACUUACGCUAAUACCGCAUACGACCUACGGGUGAAAGCAGGGGAUCUUCGGACCUUGCGCGAUUGAAUGAGCGGAUGUCGGAUUAGCUAGUUGGCGGGGUAAAGGCCCCCCAAGGCGACGAUCCGUAGCUGGUCUGAGAGGAUGAUCAGCCACACUGGAACUGAGACACGGUCCAGACUCCUACGGGAGGCAGCAGUGGGGAAUAUUGGACAAUGGGCGCAAGCCUGAUCCAGCCAUACCGCGUGGGUGAAGAAGGCCUUCGGGUUGUAAAGCCCUUUUGUUGGGAAAGAAAAGCAGCAGGUUAAUACCCCGCUGUUCUGACGGUACCCAAAGAAUAAGCACCGGCUAACUUCGUG
rnacentral:rRNA from 1 species